AGAGAUGGAGUCACCAGAACUGCAGGGGACUGCAACAGCUAUGGGAAGAGUCUUGGAAUGAAUAAUGUUAAACCACAUACUUACAUUGGUCAUGUCAUUUGGGCUCAAAGAUGAAAGAAAAUGCGCAAAUAAUACCUUGAUUAAGAUAUGUACCAACAUCAGGCUGGCAAGUUUGAUCACUAUUCCUGCCUUGUGAAGUAUCAUAGCUCCUCCAUGGUCAGUAGGAGGAGUAAGGCAAUGUCCCCUUAUUAAAACUGUGUCAUUGACAUGAAGAAAACCUGGGGAUGAGCUCUUUGCAUCUGAUGGUUCCCAAACACAGCCAUCAACUUGCAAUGCUCCUUGGAAAUUCCUCUCCCUCUGACACCAUAAAACAGAUAAA